CGGCCCUGUGAAAAAGGCGGCGCGGGUUGCUCUUCGCGUUAGAAUGAUCCAGGGAGCCGGAGAAAGAGGGAUGGUCUCAGUACCUAUGGAGUAAGCCUAUCAUGAUUCCAUAGCUGAACUCCCAACAUUCAUCCUCUUGUGAUGCCCUGGGAGAACCCAGCCCCAGAGCAUGAGCCACUAUGCAGGGAAGAAUUGCAGGGUGACCAGACGCUGUCAAGGAAGUUUCCUGAGUCCUGCUUCAUCUGGUGAAAGAGCAGGCAGCAAUUCAAGGUUGCUACAGACAUGCAGGGUCACUGCAUAGCCUGGACCUGGCAAACUACUCGGCAGCCUCGUUCCGGAGGCUGAACUGCGAAGUCUACUUCUCAUGCUUGCACUGUCACCCUGCACCCAACCCGCCUUCUGCCCCUAACUCCCUCUUGACUCGGGGAGUGGCUGCACCUGGAACCAAACCCUUCUGGGUUAGAUGAGGAACAGCGGCCUUGUCAGUUUUAGCUGGGCUGUGUGUGACCCCAGUGUUCCUGUGACUCCUGGACGGUGGAGGAGAUCACACAGUCCCCCAGUCACAGACCACCUCGUGAAGAGCAGAGGCCAUUCCCUCGAGGUGAAUGGCAGUUUCUCA